rnacentral:rRNA from 1 species
AUCUGCCUAGUAGUGGGGGAUAGCUCGGGGAAACUCGAAUUAAUACCGCAUACGACCUACGGGUGAAAGGGGGCGCAAGCUCUUGCUAUUAGAUGAGCCUAAAUCAGAUUAGCUAGUUGGUGGGGUAAAGGCCCACCAAGGCGACGAUCUGUAACUGGUCUGAGAGGAUGAUCAGUCACACCGGAACUGAGACACGGUCCGGACUCCUACGGGAGGCAGCAGUGGGGAAUAUUGGACAAUGGGGGCAACCCUGAUCCAGCCAUGCCGCGUGUGUGAAGAAGGCCUUUUGGUUGUAAAGCACUUUAAGCAGGGAGGAGAGGCUAAUGGUUAAUACCCAUUAGAUUAGACGUUACCUGCAGAAUAAGCACCGGCUAACUCUGUGCCAGCAGCCGCGGUAAUACAGAGGGUGCGAGCGUUAAUCGGAAUUACUGGGCGUAAAGCGAGUGUAGGUGGCUCAUUAAGUCACAUGUGAAAUCCCCGGGCUUAACCUGGGAA